rnacentral:rRNA from 1 species
UGGGGAAUUUUGGGACAAUGGGCGAAAGCCUGAUCCAGCAAUGCCGCGUGUGUGAAGAAGGCCUUCGGGUUGUAAAGCACUUUUGUCCGGAAAGAAAUCCUUGGCUCUAAUACAGUCGGGGGAUGACGGUACCGGAAGAAUAAGCACCGGCUAACUACGUGCCAGCAGCCGCGGUAAUACGUAGGGUGCAAGCGUUAAUCGGAAUUACUGGGCGUAAAGCGUGCGCAGGCGGUUUGCUAAGACCGAUGUGAAAUCCCCGGGCUCACCUGGGAACUGCAUUGGUGACUGGGCAGGCUAGAGUAUGGCAGAGGGGGGUAGAAUUCCACGUGUAGCAGUGAAAUGCGUAGAGAUGUGGAGGAAUACCGAUGGCGAAGGCAGCCCCUGGGCCAAUACUGACGCUCAUGCACGAAAGCGUGGGGAGCAAACAGGA